rnacentral:rRNA from 1 species
GACACGGAGAUGGUUAAUAGGGACAGCGUUUAUUUCACAAGGAGGCAUUAGUAUUUAAUUUCCAGAGGUGAAAUUCUUUGAAAUAUUAAAGACUAACUUAUGCGAAAGCAUCGUUUGCCAAUGAUGUUUUCAUUAAUCAUUGAACGAAAGUUAGGGGAUCAAAGACGAUCAGAUACCGUCCUAGUCUUAACCAUAAACGUUGCCGACUAGGGAUCGGAGGGCGUGCACAAUCCGCCUUCGGCACCUUACGAGAAAUCAAAGUCUUUUGGGUUCUGUGGGUAGUAUGGUCGCAAGGCUGAACUUAAAGGAAUUGACGGAAGGGCACCACCAGGAGUGGAGCUUGCGGCUCAAUUUGACUCAACACGGGAAAUCUUACCAGGUCCAGACAUAGCGAGGAUUGACAGAUUGAUAGCUCUUUCUUGAUUCUAU